rnacentral:rRNA from 1 species
UACGUAGGGUGCGAGCGUUGUCCGGAAUUAUUGGGCGUAAAGGGCUCGUAGGCGGUCUGUUGCGUCGGUAGUGAAAACUCAGGGCUUAACCCUGAGCCUGCUUCCGAUACGGGCAGACUAGAGGUAUGCAGGGGAGAACGGAAUUCCUGGUGUAGCGGUGAAAUGCGCAGAUAUCAGGAGGAACACCGGUGGCGAAGGCGGUUCUCUGGGCAUUACCUGACGCUGAGGAGCGAAAGUGGGGGAGCGAACAGG